AAAACCCAAAGGCGAAAUGAAAGUAAAUAGUGGAAUAUUGAUUUAUCAAUUUCUCUAUAGGGAAGAUGGAAUGUCGAUCAGUAAUUUUGUAGCAUUUAUGUUAUAUUUUAUUAUUGAUUUGGCUUCCCGCACUCCCGGGGCGCUUGUUUCACGCUUUGCGAGUCACUGCGCACCUAGAGCGUACACGAUGAUACCCGAAAGAUGGUGAACUAUGCCUGGCCAGGACGAAGCCAGGGGAAACCCUGGUGGAGGUCCGCAGCGAUUCUGACGUGCAAAUCGAUCGUCGGAGCUGGGUAUAGGGGCGAAAGACCAAUCGAACCAUCUAGUAGCUGGUUCCCUCUGAAGUUUCCCUCAGGAUAGCUUGCGUUCAGAAGAGUCUCAUCCGGUAGAGCGAAUGAUUAGAGGCAUUGGGGUCGAAACGACCUCAACCUAUUCUCAAACUCCAAAUAGAUGAGAUCCCCGGCUUUCUUAAAAAUGAAGCCGUGGGAAUUGGAUCAGAGUGCAAAGUGGGCCAAU
rnacentral:rRNA from 1 species